rnacentral:sRNA from 1 species
GCGCCUGCGGCGGACCCGGCGGGGAUCAUCAAAACGGCUUCGCAGGCAGCCGAUCCCCGUACGGUCCGGUACAAUCCCGGAAUUUCCGGGAUUUUAAGGUCUUC